UUGCAGCCUAUUCAACUGACCAGGUUCCUUUCCUCAUGGGGGUCCAGUGUGCAGUGGCUGCAGACAGCAGCCUCCUUGGUAGCGUAUAAAACCUGCUGCUUGUACAGGUGGCUCUAAGGGGCCUUGGAGACAGUU
ensembl:snoRNA SNORA70 Small nucleolar RNA SNORA70